GGUUGCGAUCAUACCAGCACUAAUGCACCGGAUCCCAUCAGAACUCCGUAGUUAAGCGUGCUUGGGCGAGAGUAGUACUAGGAUGGGUGACCCCCUGGGAAGUCCUCGUGUUGCACCCC
rnacentral:rRNA from 1 species